rnacentral:rRNA from 1 species
AUGAACGCUAGCGAUAGGCUUAACACAUGCAAGUCGAGGGGCAGCACAAGGUAGCUUGCUAUCUGGGUGGCGACCGGCGCACGGGUGCGUAACGCGUAUGCAACUUGCCCUAUACAGGAGGAUAACCCGUCGAAAGACGGACUAAUACUGCGUAUGCUCACAACUUGGCAUCAAGUGGUGAGGAAAGAAAUUCGGUAUAGGAUAGGCAUGCGUCCCAUUAGCUUGUUGGUGAGGUAACGGCUCACCAAGGCAACGAUGGGUAGGGGAACUGAGAGGUUUAUCCCCCACACUGGUACUGAGACACGGACCAGACUCCUACGGGAGGCAGCAGUGAGGAAUAUUGGUCAAUGGGCGCGAGCCUGAACCAGCCAAGUCGCGUGAAGGAUGACUGUCUUAUGGAUUGUAAACUUCUUUUAUACGGGAAUAACAAGAGUCACGUGUGACUCCCUGCAUGUACCGUAUGAAUAAGCAUCGGCUAACUCCGUG